GGCGAAGUCACUGAUACCACGCUUCCAGGAAAAGCUCCUAAGCUUCAGCUUACGCAGACCGUACCGUAAACCGACACAGGUGGGUAGGAUGAGAAUUCUCAGGCGCUUGAGAGAACUCGGGUGAAGGAACUAGGCAACAUGGCACCGUAACUUCGGGAGAAGGUGCACCCUUUUUGGUGGCUCGUGCGAGCUAUAGCUGAAGAGGGUCGCAGUAACCAGGCCGCUGCGACUGUUUAUCAAAAACACAGCACUCUGCAAACACGAAAGUGGACGUAUAGGGUGUGACGCCUGCCCGGUGCUGGAAGGUUAAUUGAUGGGGUCAGCCGCAAGGCGAAGCUCUUGAUCGAAGCCCCAGUAAACGGCGGCCGUAACUAUAACGGUCCUAAGGUAGCGAAAUUCCUUGUCGGGUAAGUUCCGACCUGCACGAAUGGCGUAACGACAGCGGCGCUGUCUCCACCCGAGACUCAGUGAAAUUGAAAUCGCUGUGAAGAUGCAGCGUUCCCGUGGCAAGACGGAAAGACCCCGUGAACCUUUACUAUAGCUUUACACUGAACGUUGAGUUCGUCUGUGUAGGAUAGGUGGGAGGCUAUGAAACUGUGGCGCUAGCUGCAGCGGAGCCAUCCUUGAAAUACCACCCUGUCGUGCUUGACGUUCUAACCUGGGCCCAUUAUCUGGGUCGGGGACCGUGUAUGGUGGGUAGUUUGACUGGGGCGGUCUCCUCCUAAAGAGUAACGGAGGAGCUCGAAGGUACGCUCAGCGCGGUCGGACAUCGCGCACUGUGUGCAAAGGCAUAAGCGUGCUUGACUGCAAGAUCGACGGAUCAAGCAGGUAGGAAACUAGGACUUAGUGAUCCGGUGGUUCUGUAUGGAAGGGCCAUCGCUCAACGGAUAAAAGGUACUCCGGGGAUAACAGGCUGAUACCGCCCAAGAGUUCAUAUCGACGGCGGUGUUUGGCACCUCGAUGUCGGCUCAUCACAUCCUGGGGCUGUAGUCGGUCCCAAGGGUAUGGCUGUUCGCCAUUUAAAGUGGUACGCGAGCUGGGUUCAGAACGUCGUGAGACAGUUCGGUCCCUAUCUGCCAUGGGCGUUGGAGAUUUGAGAGGGGCUGCUCCUAGUACGAGAGGACCGGAGUGGACGAACCUCUGGUGUUCCGGUUGUCACGCCAGUGGCAUUGCCGGGUAGCUAUGUUCGGAAGCGAUAACCGCUGAAAGCAUCUAAGCGGGAAGCGCGCCUCAAGAUGAGAUCUCCCGGGGCACAAGCCCCCUGAAGGAACCAUGUAGACUACGUGGUUGAUAGGUCAGGUGUGUAAGUACAGCAAUGUAUUGAGCUAACUGAUACUAAUGAUCCGUGCGGCUUGACCAU
rnacentral:rRNA from 2 species